CAGAAACCUAUGUUAUCUACUUACAGUCUUUCUUCCACAAAUUCAAAGAAUGGAACCGAAAGUACGGAAAUGUAUAUGGGAUAUUUAUGGGAAGAACGCCAGCCUAUGUUAUAUCGGAUCUGGACAUUCUGAAGGAGGUGUUUGUCAAGAGCUUCAACACUUUCAGAAACAGGAGGAAAAUCUCACUCGUGCCCUACCCAUUAAAUAUAAGUGUGUUUUUCUUGGACGAUGAGUACUGGCGGAGGGUAAGAAGCAUCAUAAAACCGAGCUUCAGCAGCGGCAAACUGAGGAAG